rnacentral:rRNA from 1 species
GACGAACGCUGGCGGCGUGCUUAUCACAUGCAAGUCGAACGGAAAGGCCCUGCUUUUGUGGGGUGCUCGAGUGGCGAACGGGUGAGUAACACGUGAGUAACCUGCCCUUGACUUUGGGGUAACUUCAGGAAACUGGGGCUAAUACCGGAUAGGAGCUCCUGCUGCAUGGUGGGGGUUGGAAAGUUUCAGCGGUUGGGGAUGGACUCGCGGCUUAUCAGCUUGUUGGUGGGGUAGUGGCUUACCAAGGCUUUGACGGGUAGCCGGCCUGAGAGGGUGACCGGCCACAUUGGGACUGAGCUACGGCCCAGACUACUACGGGGGGCAGCAGUGGGGAAUAGUGCACAAUGGGCGGAAGCCUGAUGCAGCAACGCCGCGUGCGGGAUGACGGCCUUCGGGUUGUAACCCGCUUUCGCCGGUGACGAAGCGUGAGUGACGGUAAUGGGUAAAGAAGCACCGGCUAACUACGUG